rnacentral:tRNA from 1 species
UCCUGGCUGGCUCAGUCGGCAGAGCGGGAGACUCUUGAUCUUGGGGUUGUGAGUUCCAGCCCCAUGUUGGGAG